rnacentral:lncRNA from 1 species
AUUAUUCAGGAACAGAUUUGGAUGGCCAUUCCUCUAGAAACCAAUUCGACGAAGACGAUAUUGAGACCAUCAGUUCGUUCUCUGGUCCAAUACCCAUACAUAUCGGUAAUGACUCUGCUGCUAUAGAUAAUGUGCUUGGAGAAUUUGCUUCUACACAAAAACAAAAGCAAGUCGAGAGAUCCGAGCAGGUGGAGAGUUCCAAAGCACGAGAUGAUAAUGAAGAAUCAUCGGGUAUUGUAGAAUUAGAAUGCAACCUCUCCGUGCAAGCAGAAAAGAGCACGACCACUGCUGAAGCAAACAAGAGCAUGGAGAUUGUGUGCAGAGGAUUGGAUCAUGCAGACUCUCUAGGUCUGCUACUCAUCAGCAACAGAUUGAGAUGCAUCACCAACUGGUUAGUCGUUGCUUUGAUUAAGCUGCAGCAUCCUCACUCUGAAAGUGGUCAUUCCCUAGUUAGGAUCUACGGUCCACAAGUAAAAUUUGACAGGGGACCUGCAAUAGCUUUCAACAUCUUCGACUGGAAAGGAGAGAAGAUCGAGCCUGUGCUUGUACAAAAGCUUGCAGAUAGAAGCAACAUUUCUCUUAGUUGUGGGUUCCUAAACAAUAUACGCUUCCCAGACAAAUAUGAAGCUGAGAAACAUAAAGUUUUGGAGAGAAGAGCCUGUGAAAUAACAGUUGCAGGCAACAGAAAGAAACAAAAAACUACUAUGGGAAUAAAUGUCUUAAAUGCUUCCCUUAGCUUCCUCACUAACUUUGAGGAUGCUUACAAACUCUGGACUUUUGUUGCUAAGUUCCUAGAUGCAGAUUUUGUUGAGAAGGAAAGGUGGAGAUAUUUGGCUUUGAAUCAGAAAACAGUUGAGGUUUAAUGUGAAUGAGCUGAAUUUUCUGUAGUUGACUAUGCUUUCUGCUAGAACUGUCAACAUAGAACUGGGGAUACAUUCUUUUACUGUGCUACCAUGUUCAGAUAACGGUAUCUUGAUGAAUAAUGUGAAUCAUCUACUCACUAUUUUUCUCUGGGUCAAAGAAUUGGAUAUGUAAACAAUUGUGCAUGACCAAAUCAAAUAAAUUAUAUGAGGGACCUUAUUUCUCAAUUGAACUUUUUUUAUCAUAAACUAGUCAAGGUAAACUAAAUGCAAGUUAGUUCUUGUAAUUCUUAGUUUGGUGCCCUUGGAUAAAAGAAAUACAUUCGCCAAUUCAAGGACUAUGCUUGUGAAUCCCGAAUAUGUUGAGGCACAACAGUUGCCUGCACAUCCAGGGGUAAAACACUAUUUCGGUGUGGGAUGUGAGAGCGGUACCAAACCAAGGCAGACUCUGAAUACUAGAUAUGAUGCAAAAAUAAGAGGGGUCAAUGUCAACCAGUUAGAUAAUGGGGAGAAGCAUCAUCGGUGAGUGGAAAAUAGUUUAGAUCAUUAGGUAAGGCCCCAAAAUGUCCGUUUAGUGAUAAAGAUAAAGGUAUAUGAUUAUAUAAUUAAAUUUUUAGUCAGAACUAUUUUGGUGUGGGAUGCGAGAGCAGUACCAAAUCAAGGCAAACUCUAAAUACUAGAUAUGACAUAAAAAUAAGAUGGGUCAAUGUUGACCAGUUAGAUAAUGGGGGAUAAGCAUAAUCACUCACAGGAAAAUAGUCAGGAUCAUCGCUAAGGCCCCAAAACAUCCAUUUAAUGAUAAGGUAUAUGAUUAUAUGAUUAAACUUAUAAUCAGCCUCAUCUAGUGAAAACAUCAAACACUUUACUUGAACUAUCCACAGAGCACAUGGAGCAGCAAAUCAGCUAGGCCCUAAAAUUAGACUAUUCUUCUUGUAUUUUCCUCUACAAGAAUAUGGGGAAAUAAACAAAGAUCAGGAACAGAUUUAGGUUUCCCCAGUCUUGCCAAAGCCACUGAAAUUUACAUGAUUUAUCCUCAUUCAAUGGUGUUAUCUUUUUUACACCAGGCCUUGGCCAAAAAGAAUGAAUGAUAUUAAUUCGAACUGUUCGAUCAAAUGUUAACCAUGUCAGCAUCUCAGCAACCUAAAAUCCUACAACUCCAACAGCUAAAAUUAUGAUCUUGAAACCUUAAGAGCUCAGCCAAUUUAUAGCUUGAAUUACUUCUUAAUUGUGGAAUAAAACAUUAGUAGCAGUACUUUUGCUGAAAUCUAAUCAAAUUAUUAUGUACUGAAUUGUCAAUCUAUGGUAUGGUUUACAUUUGUAGACCAUUGACAAAAAUAUCUAAAAAUAUAUAAGAUGUUGAUAUUUUAUCAGUAUGCUUGCGAUUCCAACAUAUCAGUAGCAUUGAAUCAUUAUGGUUGAUAUACGAUGGUGUUUAGCUUCAUGAUUUUCCAAAAAGAAGGUCAACUAGAUGAGAUCAAGCAAGCCAGGCCUAGCUCAAGCUUGGCCAAGUUCAACUCAAGUUAGUGCAUUCAUCUUUGAUCCAUGAACCAGUUGCUAAAUUACAAGUAUUUAGAAAAUUAUUGUCAAUGUGAAAUCAUUUAAGCCUUCCACAAACAUUCAUGUCAUGUUAAUCUCACUAUCAUCCUCAUCAAUUAGUCAAAAAAAUUUUGGGCAUGUUUGAUCAGGGACGAUCUAGUCGAGUUUGAGCCAAACUCCAAUUCAGCCCAACUGGAGUUCUAGUUAGACCCCACUUCGAUCAUGAUCAAGCCAAACCAAGACCAAACCCAAUCUUGAGCUCAGAGACCUGAGUCAAGUCAGCCCAAUCUCAAUCCUAGUAGGAACAAGAUUAGGGCAGCCCCUAGCCAACCAGGGUAAUAUACAAUAAAAGACUUCAACGACUACAAGGAACUAAAGAGAAGUCCUAAUCAAAUUAGGACUUUAUACGCCCUCAAUCCUAUAAAUCUAAAGGGUUGCAACCCUCUUGAAGGCAUCCAAGUCGUGCCUCCUCUUGAGUUCCCAACCGGCCCUAAGCUAAGAAGAGAGGAGAGAAAGAGAGGAAGGAGUUUGAAAAUUCAACAAUCCUUCCUCCUCCCUGUAGCCACCUUGCUACAGAGAUCUUUUUUGAGUUGUUGUCAGCCUUUGUAGCUUGCAAAGAGGCCUUCAAUAGCAGCAAGAAGAAGAAGGGAGAAUGAGAGUUCAAGGAAGAGCAACAGCCUACUUCCUCCAUUGUUGGCAGACCUUCAUCCUUCUUCCUCCCAGCCUACUGCAGCAACGUUGCAGCAGAGAUUCCAUCAAGUUCCAAUAGCCAAAGUCCUUCAUCAAAGCUACGUCUAGCCUCUGUAAGAAGUCCCAAAGCUUGUUAUUCGCUGUCCAAACCUUAGAAGGAAGUUCCAACAACAAGAACGGAGAAGACCAAAACCAACAGCAAUCGUCAACUUGUCGACAGCACCCAAGUGCUAUCCAAAGGCAACCUAUGUUCUUACGCAUUUGUAAGUCUUUUAUCUUGCUUUUAUUCUGUUUCUUAGCCCUUGUAGUAGGCACUUUAAUCUUAUGAGCAAUAGACAUUGUUUUCCUUUCGGUUUUACAUUUGUUUCCAGCAAUAUCUCUCUCUACCAAUAACUUCCAUAUGAGAAGUGGUAUUGGAUUGACGAAUCAUUGAACCCAUGCCCUAUACGGAUCAAUGUUUAUGCAUUCAAACACUAGACAUUUGACUUCUACUUUACUAGAUCAUUUCCUCAAAGAAACAGAUCAAAAGCAAAGCUCAAAUAGUAAACAGUGAUCCAAAUCAGUUUUUUUCUGCAAUUAACUCCUAUAAAGUUUCAUGGGACAGACUAUGUAUACAACCAUGUGAAAGAUCAUAAAGAAGUAGAGGCAUUUAUUCCGAGCAUCAGUUCCUCUUUUAAUUCUACUAACAUCAUGAUCAUGUACUCAAAAAAAUUGUGUAAAUGUUUAUGCACAUAAACACUAGAAAUCUAGGUUCUUCUUUAAAAUAUGAUUUCUUUAUAGAAACUUAAAUGAACAAGAUGAUACAUAUUUUUAUAGAGAAAAAAACAAUAAACUAUCCAUCUUUAUGCAUAGAGACAAAAAAAACAUCGAUGAACAUCUCUUCUACAAUCAACUCCAUGGGAUUCAUCUAGGACAGAUUAUGUGCACAACCAUGUAGAAAAGAAGAAUGAAGUUCACAUCCAUUAGUUGUUAUUAACUAAGAUACAACAUAAACUAAGCAAUAAUAUCCAACUAUUUAGGAUCAGCUAUAUGAAACUUUUUCUUCGAUGAAUACCAGACACGUCUUGUUAAAUCAAAAGCAUUCAUUUUUUUAAAUUAUUAUUAGUACUAUUUAUUAGUUCGGACGCUACCUCUUCUUGUCCCAAUGAUACUAGUUGAUUCAUCUUGACUAACGACAAUAGGUACAGGUUUUCUUUUAACAUGUUCACAGUAUCUUAGAUUGUUCUCUUCUGUAAUCCUCUGUGACCUAAUUAUUUAUAAGUAAACUAUUUUAUUAAUUUUUAUCUUUUUUUAGAUCUUAUGAACAUGGUUCUUAACCAUUAUCAACAAAAAGACGUAGGUAAAUAAAAUCUUGGUUAUUGUUAAAGUCUGAUUGUAAACAUACACAGUUGAUAACACAGAAAAGAAGAUUACGGUUCCAUUUUAAAAAAUUGGAGACAAUUCAAUCAGGACUUUCUUUUGCCAAAACAUGUUAAAUAAUACAAGACGGAAAUAGUAAAUUAGAGAACAUAUCAAGCACCCGCUAGAUACGAAAAUUCAAAAGAAAAUUAUAAUUGCAUUGGUCUUGUUCUUAUUAUUCACCUGAAGAGAAAUCAGUACCGAUAUAUUAAAGACAAACAGUAGCUAGUAUCGUAAUAUUAUUCCGUGACUUGUAUGGUUAGCACGGAGUUCUGUUAAAAAUUUGAAUGCUUAGCUUGCAGAGUUCUAACAUUUGGGACAGCAACAAGAAAAAAAAGCUAAUUUCAAAGACAAUGUGGUUUCUUUUUAAGUUAAAUAGCACACUCAGAACGACUUAUAGAGGCACAAGCUAGAUCUAAUGAGUUGAGUUGCUGCUUGGCAAAGAUUCGGCAGGCGGCAAGACAAUAGAAACCAAAGCAGAAAUAAGUGGGGGAGGAGGAGAGGGAGAGAGGAGGAGAUUAUUCCGACCUUGAAGAGCGAGAUCUCCAGUUGCAGUGCUUUCGGAGCUAAAGCAGAGACGAUUAGUGCACCCAAGGAGCAGCAAAGAGAGGAGACGAGAAUCUGGUGGGCGCACCCACAACCGACUCUUCCCCGACAAAGUAGGUUUUUAUAGUACGGCCUGAAUCCUUUGUGGUCUUAUCGACAACCCUCCGAUCACAACCGUCCAUCCUACCAUAUAUAUAUAUAUAUAUA